CUGCUGGGUGCUGGCCUGCCAUCACAAGGCUAUAACCAUAUCAACGCUGACAAAGUUCUUGAGGCUAGGCUCAUCUGAGCUCAUGAUUCAUGAAGAACCUUUGUUUGCCUCCAUCGCAUGCUAAAGUGCCUGGUUAUGUAUACUGAAUAGCAUCUGGAUCCUGAGUCCUGACUGCAAGCGGCCAAAGACUGAGGAGCUAGGUAGGAACAACGGACUAAAUUCUCAUGCAGCUCAUAAGUUAAUUAUCUUGUCUCAUAAGCUUGACAAUAGUUCCUGUUUGUCAUGAAUCUUCUUUCUUCAUCACUCUUCUUAACAGUCCUUUCUUCGUAUUACUUUCAAGACAUGGUCAUUUAAGCCUACCGGUACUCUCUAUUCAACACGAUUUGAAUUUAUACAGAUUACUUAAUGGACACUAAUAUAUAUCUUUUGCCAAUGGCAGCAG
rnacentral:lncRNA from 1 species